rnacentral:rRNA from 1 species
GAGAGACCGAUAGCGAACCAGUACUGUGAAGGAAAGGUGAAAAGCACUUCGAAUAGAAGAGUGAAAUAGUCCCUGAAACCAUGCGCCUACAAGCGGUCGGAGCAGCUUAAGUUGUGACGGCGUGCCUUUUGCAUAAUGAACCUACGAGUUACUUUUUCCGGCAAGGUUAAGCAUCUUGAGAUGUGGAUCCGAAGCGAAAGCGAGUCUGAACAGGGCGGAUAGUCGGAAGGAGUAGACGCGAAACCAAGUGAUCUACCCUUGGGCAGGUUGAAGGUUAGGUAACACUAACUGGAGGACCGAACCGAUAAGCGUUGAAAAGCUUCCGGAUGACCUGAGGGUGGGGGUGAAAGGCUAAUCAAACUUGGAGAUAGCUCGUACUCCCCGAAAUGCAUUUAGGUGCAGCCUUGAGAGUUACUAAUGUGAGGUAGAGCGACUGAUAAGAUGCGAGGGCUUCACCGCCUAUCAAGUCUUGAUAAACUCCGAAUGCGCAUUAGUUCUAUCUCAGGAGUGAGGGCAUGGGUGCUAAGGUCCAUGUCCUAAAGGAGAAGAAUCCAGACCAUCAGCUAAGGUCCCCAAAUAAACACUAAGUUGAACUAACGAAGUCAGAUUGCUAAGACAGCUAGGAUGUUGGCUUGGAAGCAGCCAUUCAUUUAAAGAGUGCGUAACAGCUCACUAGUCGAGGAGUUUGGCGUGGAUAAUAAUCGGGCAUUAAGUGUUUUACCGAAGCUAUGGGAUCCUAAUGGAUCGGUAGGGGAGCAUUCCACUCUGCGUUGAAGGCGAAGCGUGAGCUUUACUGGAGCGUGUGGAAAAGCAAAUGUAGGUAUAAGUAACGAUAAGGGGGGUGAGAAACCCCCUCGCCGCAAGACUAAGGUUUCCUGAUCAACGCUAAUCGGAUCAGGGUUAGUCGGGUCCUAAGGCUCAGCCGAACGGUGAGGCCGAUGGCAGAACAGGUUAAUAUUCCUGUACUACCUGUAGGAGUGAUGUGGAGACGGAGGAGUGACAACGCCGCGGACUGACGGAAUAGUCCGUUAAAGGGUGUAGAUGUUGAUUAUCCCAGGCAAAUCCGGGAUAAGAGUCGAACCUGACAGUAUACCAAUUUCCUCGGAAAACGGUAAUAGUGCGUGUAAACAUACUCCCAAGAAAAUCCGCUAAACUUAAUCUUACAGGUACCCGUACCGUAAACGGACACACGUAGUCGGGUUGAAUAUACUCAGGCGCUUGAGUGAAUCACGGUUAAGGAACUAGGCAAAUUGACCCUGUAACUUCGGGAUAAAGGGUCCCUACCCGGUGACGGGAGGGCGCAGAGAAUAGGUCCAGGCAACUGUUUAACAAAAACACAGGGCUGUGCAAAAUUGAAAGAUCACGUAUACAGCCUGACACCUGCCCGGUGCUGGAAGGUUAAGAGGAGAUGUCAUCGCAAGAGAAGCAUUGAAUUGAAGCCCCAGUAAACGGCGGCCGUAACUAUAACGGUCCUAAGGUAGCGAAAUUCCUUGUCGGGUAAGUUCCGACCUGCACGAAUGGUGUAAUGAUCUGGACACUGUCUCAACCGUGAGCUCAGUGAAAUUGUAGUAUCGGUGAAGAUGCCGAUUACCCGCGAUGGGACGAAAAGACCCCGUGAACCUUUACUAUAGCUUAACAUUGAAUUUGGGUAAUUGAUGUGUAGGAUAGGCCGGAGACUUUGAAGCAGGUACGCCAGUAUUUGUGGAGUCGCUGUUGAAAUACGGCCCUUUGGUUAUUUGAGUUCUAACUCCAAAAAUGGAGGACACUGUUUGGUGGGUAGUUUGACUGGGGUGGUCGCCUCCAAAAGCGUAACGGAGGCUUCUAAAGGUGCCCUCACGCCGAUUGGUAACCGGCGGUAGAGUGUAAUGGCAUAAGGGCGCUUGACUGGGAGACUUACAAGUCGAUCAGGUAGGAAACUAGAGCAUAGUGAUCCGGUGUUUCCGUAUGGAAGGGACAUCGCUCAAAGGAUAAAAGGUACUCCGGGGAUAACAGGCUGAUCCCUCCCAAGAGCUCAUAUCGACGGAGGGGUUUGGCACCUCGAUGUCGGCUCGUCACAUCCUGGGGCUGGAGAAGGUCCCAAGGGUUGGGCUGUUCGCCCAUUAAAGUGGCACGCGAGCUGGGUU